UACGAAGGGGGCGAGCGUUGUUCGGAAUUACUGGGCGUAAAGGGCGCGUAGGCGGCGACUCAAGUUAGAUGUGAAAGUCCUGGGCUUAACCUGGGGACUGCAUUUGAUACUGGGUUGCUUGAAUUCGGGAGAGGAUAGCGGAAUUCCCAGUGUAGAGGUGAAAUUCGUAGAUAUUGGGAAGAACACCGGUGGCGAAGGCGGCAUCCUGGACCGAUAUUGACGCUGAUGUGCGAAAGCCAGGGGAGCAAACGGG
rnacentral:rRNA from 1 species